ACAAACACGUUGAUGAAGAAAGUAAGAUUGUGUGGUAUUCCUAACAGAGAGCCCUGUCAGCUGAAAAUGGGUGGAAGAAAACGAAUCUGAAAAUGGCUUUUGAGUGGGUACUUCGAGAAUUUUUUUUUAGAGGUGCACGACUGUCCCCGUUAUCAUGGAUCCCAAUAUCGCAGUAGCUGUAUUGGCGCAGAGGCAUUCUUUGCAAGAAGAAUGCGCACAAAGGUGGUACCAUGUAAGUUAUUACAUCCUUAGG
rnacentral:ncRNA from 1 species